rnacentral:piRNA from 1 species
UCAGUUCGACUUCAGGAAAUU